rnacentral:rRNA from 1 species
AUUGAACGCUGGCGGCAUGCCUUACACAUGCAAGUCGAACGGCAGCGGGGACUUCGGUCCGCCGGCGAGUGGCGAACGGGUGAGUAAUGUAUCGGAACGUACCAUUCAGUGGGGGAUAACUAUCCGAAAGGAUAGCUAAUACCGCAUAUUCUGUGAGCAGGAAAGCAGAGGAUCGCAAGACCUUGCGCUGAUUGAGCGGCCGAUAUCAGAUUAGCGAGUCGGUGAGGUACCGGCUCACCAAGGCUACGAUCUGUAGCGGGUCUGAGAGGAUGGAGCGCCACACUGGGACUGAGAGACGGCCCAGAGUCCUACGGGAGGCAGCAGUGGGGAAUUUUGGACAAUGGGCGCAAGCCUGAUCCAGCCAUGCCGCGUGAGUGAAGAAGGCCUUCGGGUUGUAAAGCUCUUUCGGCCGGGAAGAAAUCGCAUCAGCUAAUACCUGGUGUGGAUGACGGUACCGGAAUAAGAAGCACCGGCUAACUACGUGCCAGCCGCCGCGGUAA